CAAACCCAAGUGCAGGUUGUCGCAAGUAGUAAAUCUCGGAAGUCCGAGGUCGAACCACAGGGAAUUGGAAGGAAAUAAACUAUUCUAUGAGUAAUGAACGGUUGGUGGAAAUACGAUUGAGACGAACACUAGAGCAUCGGGGAUUCACUUUGGAUAAAUGAGUAGAAAUUGCCCUUGAUCUUUAAUUUAACUCAUAUGAAAAUCAACUAAGGAGUGAUCUCAUAUGGAAGAUAAAACAUUGAUCACAAAUAUAUUAAAAGAUAGAUCUUGAUCAUUGUUUGAGAGAAUAUGUCAAAAUAAGUUGUUGGAAUGUAGAGAUUAUCUAAGCAUUUAUUGUGCCAAAAUUGUCAACAAUAAAUCAAAGUCUUUAACAAACCAAAACCAUUUGUAGAACACAAACUUCAACCAAGUAAGAAGAUGAACAUUGAAGAACAAAAUGAAAAAUCAAAGACAAUACUAAACAUUCAUCAAAGUUUCACCCUUAGCUCUAGCUAAAUGUUUAGAAAUACAUAGUGAAAUGUUACAAAGAAAAAUUAAGGAAACUAUAAUAUGAUGGAGAGGAAUUGAUUCUUCAAAAUCGUGGCCAAGGUCACCUUUUAUAGGCAAAGGAACAUCCAAAAUUCAAGUAGGCAAUGCAACUUGUUUCUGUCCAGCUUCAAGACAGCUGGAACAUGCAACUUUAUGCCAAUUUUCAGAUACAUUGUGCAGCGAAUUUGGACUUAUGAUCAACAGAUAAAAUAUUUCCACUUGAGUUAUCUUUCCAUUGGUUCAAAGAUCAGGUUCAUUGGAUCUAUAUAACUCCAGAUAUGACAAAAACAAUAAGUGCUGCUUCACAGGUAAAGCUGUAUCCGGCAGGUAACAGGCUGGACUUUGCACGGUAAUUUUGGCUGCUUUGUGAUACGAAUUUGACUUCUUCCAAAACAUGAAAGUUGUAGAAACUUGCCUUGUCUUUCCAACCCAACUUGAAUCACCUCGAUCCAAUGUCUGAAACUCAAGUUAAGAUUAUUUUACCAACAGCUGCUUCUUGCUUGAGGCAGUCACUAUUUUUGACUUUUCAACAUUAUUUUCCUCCACUUGCUCCACUUGUUCUAAUUUGGAAAUACAAGUGAAAUACAUCAAAUAGAUACUCUUUCAAAUGUAUAAUACUCAUGCCACCAUGUAUGUAAAUACGUAUUUCAAUUAAUUGCAUUUUUAACCUUGUAUUUAUGGAAAUUGAAUUUACGGCAUGAGAAUUAGAAUUAGAGACUAACAUUAGCGUUUUUAAACAAAGUGAAUGUAAAAUGCCUUCUAAAUGAUAUAUCUUUGAAGCACUUUUAGACACUAAUCA
rnacentral:lncRNA from 1 species